CCUUAGGCAGCAGUGGGGAAUUUUGGACAAUGGGGGCAACCCUGAUCCAGCCAUUCCGCGUGAGUGAAGAAGGCCUUCGGGUUGUAAAGCUCUUUCAGCUGGAACGAAACGGUAGAGGCUAAUACCCUCUGCUAAUGACGGUACCGGCAGAAGAAGCACCGGCUAACUACGUGCCAGCAGCCGCGGUAAUACGUAGGGUGCGAGCGUUAAUCGGAAUUACUGGGCGUAAAGCGUGCGCAGGCGGAUUGUUAAGCAAGACGUGAAAUCCCCGGGCUUAACCUGGGAAUGGCGUUUUGAACUGGCAGUCUAGAGUGUGUCAGAGGGGGGUGGAAUUCCACGUGUAGCAGUGAAAUGCGUAGAGAUGUGGAGGAACACCAAUGGCGAAGGCAGCCCCCUGGGAUAACACUGACGCUCAUGUACGAAAGCGUGGGUAGCAAACAGGAUUAGAUACCCUGGUAGUCCACGCCCUAAACGAUGUCAACUGGUUGUUGGGGGAGUGAAAUCCCUUAGUAACGAAGCUAACGCGUGAAGUUGACCGCCUGGGGAGUACGGUCGCAAGAUUAAAACUCAAAGGAAUUGACGGGGACCCGCACAAGCGGUGGAUGAUGUGGAUUAAUUCGAUGCAACGCGAAAAACCUUACCUACCCUUGACAUGUCCAGAAUCCUGCAGAGAUGCGGGAGUGCCCGAAAGGGAAUUGGAACACAGGUGCUGCAUGGCUGUCGUCAGCUCGUGUCGUGAGAUGUUGGGUUAAGUCCCGCAACGAGCGCAACCC
rnacentral:rRNA from 1 species